AGAGUUUGAUCCUGGCUCAGGACGAACGCUGGCGGCGUGCCUAACACAUGCAAGUCGAGCGAAGUUUAUUUAGCAGCGACUUCGGUCAAAGCUGAUUAAACUUAGCGGCGAACGGGUGAGUAACACGUAGGCAGCCUGCCCACGACACGGGGAUAGCUUCGGGAAACCGGAGGUAAUACCCGAUACCUUUACUUAUUGCAUGAUAAGUAAAGAAAGCGAAUAGCGGUCAUGGAUGGGCCUGCGUCCCAUUAGCUAGUUGGUGAGAUAACAGCCCACCAAGGCGACGAUGGGUAGCCGACCUGAGAGGGUGACCGGCCACACUGGAACUGAGACACGGUCCAGACUCCUACGGGAGGCAGCAGUGGGGAAUCUUGCGCAAUGGGCGAAAGCCUGACGCAGCGACGCCGCGUGAGCGAAGAAGGCCUUCGGGUCGUAAAGCUCAGUCAUUGGGGAUGAGAUGACAGUACCCAAGGAGGAAGCCCCGGCUAACUACGUGCCAGCAGCCGCGGUAAUACGUAGGGGGCGAGCGUUGUCCGGAAUUACUGGGUGUAAAGGGCGUGUAGGCGGGGGUGCAAGUUACCGGUAAAAACCCAGGGCUCAACUCUGGGCUUGCCGGUAAAACUGCAUCUCUUGAGUGUAGGAGAGGGAAGUGGAAUUCCCGGAGUAGCGGUGAAAUGCGUAGAUACCGGGAGGAACACCAGUGGCGAAGGCGGCUUCCUGGCCUACAACUGACGCUGAGGCGCGACAGCUAGGGUAGCGAACGGGAUUAGAUACCCCGGUAGUCCUAGCCGUAAACGAUGGUCACUAGGUGUGGGGUGGUGGUCAAGCCAUCCGUGCCGGAGCUAACGCAAUAAGUGACCCACCUGGGGAGUACGGGCCGCAAGGCUGAAACUCAAAUGGAAUUGACGG
rnacentral:rRNA from 1 species